rnacentral:rRNA from 1 species
CGACGUGGAUAACCUGCCUCACACAGGGGGAUAACAGUUGGAAACGACUGCUAAUACCGCAUAAGCGCACAGCACCGCAUGGUGCAGUGUGAAAAACUCCGGUGGUGUGAGAUGGAUCCGCGUCUGAUUAGCUAGUUGGCGGGGUAACGGCCCACCAAGGCGACGAUCAGUAGCCGGCCUGAGAGGGCGACCGGCCACAUUGGGACUGAGACACGGCCCAG